GUGUUUGGUUUGUUUGGGCCGGUUGGUUCCCUGCUUGCGCAGCGACAACCGCUCCUUCUUACCUCUUCAAUCUUGUGUCAAGCGCAACAAGCCUUGACUCAAAUCGGUUUCCUGUGCUGUGUACCUACGAUGUUGGAAUUGUCCCGUCUACUAUUCCUCGUUCGUCUUGUGCUGCUCACGCGGUGCGAGAUGAACCGUGUAGUGUCCUUCGUUGUCCUCUAUUGGCUUGCUCUAAUGCAAUUCAUAGACGGCCAACGUUGGCAUAGACACUCGGAAUCUCGGAUAUAGAACCUUAAGCGGACAAGAUGUGGUCUUUGACCUCAAUUUGUCCAAACUGAGCUUCUCGCUUCUUAUGAACGACUGUCGAUUCCCGUUUGAGAUGCGGAUUCUUUCGGUCCAACAAGCUCAUUCGGUGUCGACGUCAAAGAAGGAUG
rnacentral:misc_RNA from 2 species